rnacentral:rRNA from 1 species
AGUGAACGCUGGCGGUAGGCCUAACACAUGCAAGUCGAACGGCAGCACAGCAAGAGCUUGCUCUUACGGGUGGCGAGUGGCGGACGGGUGAGGAAUACAUCGGAAUCUACUUUUUCGUGGGGGAUAACGUAGGGAAACUUACGCUAAUACCGCAUACGACCUACGGGUGAAAGCAGGGGAUCUUCGGACCUUGCGCGAUUGAAUGAGCCGAUGUCGGAUUAGCUAGUUGGCGGGGUAAAGGCCCACCAAGGCGACGAUCCGUAGCUGGUCUGAGAGGAUGAUCAGCCACACUGGAACUGAGACACGGUCCAGGCUCCUACGGGAGGCAGCAGUGGGGAAUAUUGGACAAUGGGCGCAAGCCUGAUCCAGCCAUACCGCGUGGGUGAAGAAGGCCUUCGGGUUGUAAAGCCCUUUUGUUGGGAAAGAAAAGCAGCAGGUUAAUACCCCGCCGUUCUGACGGUACCCAAAGAAUAAGCACCGGCUAACUUCGUG